GCCCCUGUAGCUCAACCUGGAAAGAGCAGUGGCCUCCUAAGCCGCAGGUCCUGGUUCGAGUCCAGGCAGGGGUG
rnacentral:tRNA from 1 species